rnacentral:rRNA from 1 species
CUAUCUAUCAGUAAUAUAUUGAAAUUGCUGAAGAAGUGAAAAUACUUCUACAACAAUAAAAGACGAGAAGACCCUAGAAAUUUAAUUUAAAGUGUACUAUAUAUACUAUUAUUUUGUUGGGGCGACAGAAUAUCAAGUCUAGAACCUAUUUUAAUAUUUACGUGUAUUUUUUAUAAAGGGAGACAAAAUUACUCUAGGGAUAACAGCAUAAUUAUUUAAUAGUUUGUGACCUCUAUGUUGGACUAAGGAAGAUUUUAUUCACAAAAUAAAACCGCGUGUUCUGUUCAAACAAAACUCCUUACAUGAUCUGAG